GUCUUGUAAUCCCAACGGUGAUGUCAUCGCCAGCCAAUGGUUGCGUUUUAAAGAUUACACAAAGGCGGGAGGAGCGCUGUGCUUCUUGUUUUUCAAGAUUGUAGAAGCUUCGUCGUCCGAUGGUCUUUUGUGAGGACAACCAUAUGUUCUGCAUUCCAAGCUGUAGCUGAUUCUCCCUGAUCUGUUCUUGACAGGUAUGAUGGACAAGCCAAUUGAAAAACAAACUGGAGUGCUGUUCCUUCACAUGGUGAUGACUGCAAGGAUUGUACUUACCAAACACUUUCAGCACCCAGCCAGAGUGGAUCCUACAUGUUAAAUGUAAAUGUUAAAUUUAUCACUUUUUCUUUUUUUGUACACUAUUCUUUGUUGUUGUUAGGGUUGAUUGUAUGCUUUUGUUUUGUUUCAUUUUGUUUGUUUUAUUGUUUUGUAUUUUAUUCUCUAUGAUAAAACAAUAAAAAAUAAAAAAGCUACAUACAUACCAAACAUAUUAAUUUAUCAUAUAAAUUUUAGUUGCAUGCUGUAGGUCUAGAUUUCUCCCAGGGAGAGGAAAGAAUAAUAAUUGCCCUUUUACAUUUUGUAGGAAUGUGUCAGAACCCAUUUCUAUUUCAUUUCUAUCUAUCCCCUCUGACUUAAAACCAAAUCUCCCUUUUCCCUGGGUUCUGCCAUACUCCCAAGGGGGAGGGGGGGAUGUGUCUGCGGGGUUAUUGCUUUUGCUUCCUCUAUUUGCUACAAUGUAAACUUUUGCUUCGUUUAUUGCCUCUGUGUCCACUAAAAUGUAACAAAUUGCUUCCUGCGCUAUGUCUUUCUCUGAACUUUAUUUUCCCAAACUGUCAAUUAGAACAAGGGAGGAAAUAAGGAAUGUAACCCAGUGCCUGGUUUAUUUCUAAACUCUCAGAGGAAGGUGUGAAGAAGCCGCUGACCAUCGCUGCGUGAACUGGAGAUGGGCCAAUGUUAUCUCCCUUUUUCCCACAAUGGACUUAAACACCUGGGAACUGGCCAUCCCAUACAGGACAGGUGGGCUAUGGGGUGGGGUCUAAGUUGGGGAUACCUUAAUCUAUCACUCUGCGUGGGAAAUCUCAAAUCCUGUCUAUUAUACCUGCUAUCAACUACUCUUAAUAAAAGUUUCUGUUGGAAGAAAUUGUCUCCAAGAGUUCUGCUUUCUUAAGAAGUGAGG